UUACUGGGCGUAAAGCGAGCGCAGACGGUUUGUUAAGCAGGAUGUGAAAUCCCCGGGCUCAACCUGGGAACUGCGUUCUGAACUGGCAGGCUAGAGUGUGUCAGAGGGGGGUAGAAUUCCACGUGUAGCAGUGAAAUGCGUAGAGAUGUGGAGGAAUACCGAUGGCGAAGGCAGCCCCCUGGGAUAACACUGACGUUCAUGCUCGAAAGCGUGGGUAGCAAACAGGAUUAGAUACCCUGGUAGUCCACGCCCUAAACGAUGUCAAUUAGCUGUUGGGCAACUUGAUUGCUUAGUAGCGUAGCUAACGCGUGAAAUUGACCGCCUGGGGAGUACGGUCGCAAGAUUAAAACUCAAAGGAAUUGACGGGGACCCGCACAAGCGGUGGAUGAUGUGGAUUAAUUCGAUGCAACGCGAAGAACCUUACCUGGUCUUGACAUGUACGGAAUCUUCCAGAGACGGGAGAGUGCCUUCGGGAACCGUAACACAGGUGCUGCAUGGCUGUCGUCAGCUCGUGUCGUGA
rnacentral:rRNA from 1 species